rnacentral:misc_RNA from 1 species
GACGGAGGGAGCUAGCGUUGUUCGGAAUUACUGGGCUUAAAGGGCACGUAGGUGGUCACUUAAGUUAGGCGUGAAAGCCCCGGGCUCAACCUGGGAAUAGCGUUUAAUACUGGGAGACUAGAGUAUGGUAGAGGGAAAUGGAAUUCCUAGUGUAGAGGUGAAAUUCGUAGAUAUUAGGAAGAACACCAGAGGCGAAGGCGAUUUCCUGGGCCAAUACUGACACUGAGGUGCGAAAGCGUGGGGAGCAAACAGG